rnacentral:rRNA from 1 species
CCUACGGGAGGCAGCAGUGGGGAAUAUUGCACAAUGGGGGAAACCCUGAUGCAGCGACGCCGCGUGAGUGAAGAAGUAAUUCGUUAUGUAAAGCUCUAUCAGCAGGGAAGAAAAUGACGGUACCUUAGUAAAACGCCCCGGCUAACUACGUGCCAGCAGCCGCGGUAAUACGUAGGUGGCAAGCGUUAUCCGGAUUUACUGGGUGGAAAGGGAGCGUAGACGGCAGUGCAAGUCUGAAGUGAAAGGCGGUGGCUCAACCCCGGGACUGCUCUGGAAACUGUACGGCUAGAGUGCAGGAGAGGUAAGUGGAAUUCCUAGUGUAGCGGUGAAAUGCGUAGAUAUUAGGAGGAACACCAGUGGCGAAGGCGGCUUACUGGACUGUAACUGACGUUGAGGCUCGAAAGCGUGGGGAGCAAACAGGAUUAGAUACCCUGGUAGUC